CCUACGGGAGGCAGCAGUGGGGAAUAUUGGGCAAUGGGCGCAAGCGUGACCCAGCAACGCCGCGUGAAGGAAGAAGGCCUUCGGGUUGUAAACUUCUUUCGCAGGGGAAGAGCAGAAGACUGUACCCUGGAAACAAGCUACGGCUAACUACGGGCCAGCAGCCGCGGUAACACGGAGGUGGCAAGCGUGGUCCGGAUUUACUGGGGGGAAAGGGCGUGUAGCCGGGACGGCAAGUCAGAUGUGAAAUUUGGAGGCUCAACCUCCGAAUUGCAUUUGAAACUGUUUUUCUUGAGUACUGGAGAGGCAGGCGGAAUGCCUUGUGUAGCGGUGAAAUGCGUAGAUAUAAGGAGGAACACCAGUGGCGAAGGCGGUCUGCUGGACAGCAACUGACGGUGAGGCGCGAAAGCGUGGGGAGCAAACAGGAUUAGAUACCCCUGUAGUC
rnacentral:rRNA from 1 species